rnacentral:rRNA from 1 species
ACCGGAUGACCUGGGGACAGCAAAGGCUUGCCGCCCGGGGCGGGGCCCACGUGGUAUUAGCUGGUUGGUGGGGUAACGGCCCACCAAGGCGACGAUGCCUAGCGGGUGUGAGAGCACGACCCGCGCCACUGGCACUGAGACACUGGCCAGACACCCACGGGUGGCUGCAGAAUCG